ensembl:ncRNA C26G2.4 ncRNA
AGAAAGAAGCAAAAGAAGAAGAAGAAGGAGAAGAAGAAGGAAGGUACGGCAGUUGUCCUCUCCAAGAUAAAGGAUGAGAAACACCGUCAGCUGCUUACCCUCGAACACCUCCGUAGCUCCGCAUUAAUUCUCUGUCCACUCUCGAAGGCUCUCGAGUAAAUUUCGGCGGCGGCGACGAUGAGUUCAUUUCUCUUUUUCAGUGAGCCGACAUCGCUUUUGUUUUA